AACGAACGCUGGCGGCAGGCUUAACACAUGCAAGUCGAACGCAUCCUUCGGGGUGAGUGGCAGACGGGUGAGUAACGCGUGGGAACGUGCCCUUCAGUUCGGGAUAACCCAGGGAAACUUGGGCUAAUACCGGAUACGUGCGAGAGCAGAAAGAUUUAUCGCUGAAGGAUCGGCCCGCGUCUGAUUAGCUAGUUGGUAGGGUAAUGGCCUACCAAGGCGACGAUCAGUAGCUGGCUGAGAGGAUGAUCAGCCACAUUGGGACUGAGACACGGCCCAAACUCCUACGGGAGGCAGCAGUGGGGAAUAUUGGACAAUGGGCGCAAGCCUGAUCCAGCCAUGCCGCGUGAGUGAUGAAGGCCUUAGGGUUGUAAACCUCUUUCAGCAGGGAAGAAGCGCAAGUGACGGUACCUGCAGAAGAAGCACCGGCUAACUACGUGCCAGCCGCCG
rnacentral:rRNA from 1 species